AACGUAGGGGACAAGCGUUAUCCGGAUUUACUGGGCGUAAAGCGCCCGUAGGCGGCCUGACAAGUUGGACGUGAAAGCUCCUGGCUUAACUGGGAGAGGCCGUUCAAAACUGUCAAGCUAGAGUCUGGAAGAGGAGAGCGGAAUUCCCGGUGUAGUGGUGGAAUGCGUAGAGAUCGGGAGGAACACCAGUGGCGAAGGCGGCUCUCUGGUCCAAAACUGACGCUGAGGGGCGAAAGCGUGGGGAGCGAACGGG
rnacentral:rRNA from 1 species